UACGAAGGGUGCGAGCGUUAUUCGGAAUCAUUGGGCGUAAAGGGUGCGUAGGCGGCAUAAUAAGUCAACUGUUAAAGACCCCGGCCUAACUGGGGAAAAGCGGUAGAUACUAUCGGUGCUAGAGGGUGGAAGAGAGAAGUGGAAUUCUUGGAGUAGCGGUAAAAUGCGUAGAUCUCAAGAGGAACACCAAUGGCGAAGGCAGCUUCUUGGUCCAUUUCUGACGCUGAUGCACGAAAGCGUGGGGAGCAAACAGG
rnacentral:rRNA from 1 species